rnacentral:rRNA from 1 species
GACGAACGCUGGCGGCGUGCCUAAUACAUGCAAGUAGAACGCUGAAGCUUGGUGCUUGCCCCGAGCGGAUGAGUUGCGAACGGGUGAGUAACGCGUAGGUAACCUGCCUGGUAGCGGGGGAUAACUAUUGGAAACGAUAGCUAAUACCGCAUAAGAGUAGAUGUUGCAUGACAUUUGCUUAAAAGGUGCAAUUGCAUCACUACCAGAUGGACCUGCGUUGUAUUAGCUAGUUGGUGAGGUAACGGCUCAUCAAGGCAACGAUACAUAGCCGACCUGAGAGGGUGAUCGGCCACACUGGGACUGAGACACGGCCCAGACUCCUACGGGAGGCAGCAGUAGGGAAUCUUCGGCAAUGGACGGAAGUCUGACCGAGCAACGCCGCGUGAGUGAAGAAGGUUUUCGGAUCGUAAAGCUCUGUUGUAAGAGAAGAACGAGUGUGAGAGUGGAAAGUUCACACUGUGACGGUAUCUUACCAGAAAGGGACGGCUAACUACGUG